rfam:Hymenolepis microstoma genomic scaffold, pathogens_HYM_scaffold_0001
ACAAAGGUGCUAGUCAGCACCAACCACGGUUUCAAGAAAUUAUCG